AGAUGUGAAGGAGACCUUGCUGUAACAUCUAUCAGCUUAUUGAUCACCAGGCUUGAUUUACCUGUUCUGACUGGCUAAAUGGGUCUUCCCCAAUUCCUCCUUUGCUAUUCCAUAUGUGUCCCUCCCAAAGCUCUGCAUUCAGUUGGAAAGGGUGGCCUUCACUUAUAGAUGAGGAGUACUGAAGACUGGUUUUGGCCAAGGGUAUAUGAGUAGCUGCAUUCUCUGGCUGGAACCUCCAACCAUGCUCUCACGGUAUUGUAUAUUGCCUUUUUAGACAUUAUACCAUUUCAUACCUAAUAUGCUUAUACAAUAAAAACAAAUUU
rnacentral:snRNA from 1 species